rnacentral:rRNA from 1 species
UACGGGGGGGGCAAGCGUUGUUCGGAAUUACUGGGCGUAAAGGGCUCGUAGGUGGCCAACUAAGUCAGACGUGAAAUCCCUCGGCUUAACCGGGGAACUGCAUCUGAUACUGGAUGGCUUGAGUUUGGGAGAGGGACGCGGAAUUCCAGGUGUAGCGGUGAAAUGCGCAGAUAUCAGGAAGAACACCCGUGGCGAAGGCGGCUCUCUGGGACGGUACUGACGCUGAGACGCGAAAGCGUGGGGAGCGAACAGG